GGCGAACGACAGGGGAGCGCGCGUGCCGAGGCACGGCGCGCUGAGAGUGCGGACGAGCCGCAGACCCUCCGAACCUGCACCGGUUAGCACCGGCGAAGGGAGUCAUCAUGGCCUCAGC
rnacentral:ncRNA from 1 species